UAUCUCUGUAGAGUCUGCAUAUCAAUAAGCGGAGGAAAAGAAACUAACAAGGAUUCCCCUAGUAACGGCGAGUGAAGCGGGAAGAGCUCAAAUUUGAAAUCUUCAAGGUUUUACCUUGACGAAUUGUAGUUUAAAGAAGUGUUUUCUGUUGAAGUUUUGGUAAAAGUUCUUUGAAAUAGGACAUCAUAGAGGGUGAGAAUCCCGUAUUUGACCAUUAUUUUCCAGCUGUGUGAUACACUUUCAAAGAGUCGGAUUGUUUGGGAAUGCAGUCCAAAAUGGGUGGUAAAUUUCAUCUAAAGCUAAAUAUUGGCGAGAGACCGAUAGCGAACAAGUACCGUGAGGGAAAGAUGAAAAGAACUUUGAAAAGAGAGUUAAACAGUACGUGAAAUUGUCAAAAGGGAAGCGUUUGACACCAGUGUUGUUUUCUCGAAAAUCAAUUAAAAAUGGACGGGAUGUUGUGUUGUAUUGACUUUAUCAGCUUUCUGCACUUUUUUCUUGUCUUUUUUAAUGCACUUUUCGUUUAACAAGUCAACAUCAAUUUCUUUUGUUGUAAAAGAGUCAUUGGAAGGUGGCUUUUUCUUCGGAAAAAGUGUUUAUAGCCUUUGGCUUCUGCAAUCGGAGAGAUUGAGGUCUGCAGCGUAGAUCCUUCGGGGUUAGAUACAUUUGUGCUAAGCUAUAGUUCUUUAUAGACAACUUGUUGACUAUAAUCAAUCCUGUAACUUACUCGCUUAUACUAUUUUACCUACGCUUAGGAUGUUGAUGUGAUACUGCGAGCA
rnacentral:rRNA from 1 species